GGAUGAACUACUUCAUUGCAUGCAAUGUAUCUUGGAGGUUAUGAUAAAGAUAAUAAGGCAGCAAGAGCUUAUGACUUGGCUUCUCUUAAGUACUUGGGAACAACUACGACAACCAACUUUCAUAUAACUAACUAUGAGGAGUUAGAGGAAAUGAAACAUAUGACCAGACAGAAAUAUGUCGCAUCUCUUUCAAGGUAAUAACAAGUGAAAAGGCCAUGAAUGCAUCACUAUUAUUGUCAAGUGCAACUCAUAAUGUAAACAAAAAAACUAGUUCCAUUGAUGUAAUUGUUCAAUUGACGUAAUGGUGAAUC